rnacentral:piRNA from 1 species
UCCCUGCUGCUCUCUGGUGACAUGGAAGU